UACGUAGGGUGCGAGCGUUAAUCGGAAUUACUGGGCGUAAAGUGUGCGCAGGCGGCCGCGCAAGUCGUGUGUGAAAGCCCCGGGCUUAACUUGGGAAUUGCGCUCGAAACUACGUGGCUAGAGUGUGGCAGAGGGAGGUGGAAUUCCACGUGUAGCGGUGAAAUGCGUAGAGAUGUGGAGGAACACCGAUGGCGAAGGCAGCCUCCUGGGCCAACACUGACGCUCAUGCACGAAAGCGUGGGGAGCAAACAGG
rnacentral:rRNA from 1 species